AGUUUGGUCAUGGAUUCAACCAUGAUGUAUUUCUUCCCUAAGUGAUCAUCCAGUGUGAUGUUUGUUUGUGUAUCAUAUUAUAUUAUGAAAUAUUCAUCUUCUGUGGAAAGGUUAUUGCAGUGCUUGGUUUUUAUUAUAUUGUUAAUAUCUGGGAAUAAUUAUUUUCUUUGACCUGGUAAACAGGUAAUAAACACUCUUAGUUUUGGAUACUAGUAAUUUAAUUUGGUUUAUACAUUUAAAAUGUUACAUAUUUAAAUGCAUAGAUCAACCUCAGUGUUAAAAAGGUUCCAAAUUUUGAAUGAUCAAUAUGAUGGACAUUUAUGGGUCUCUUGCCUGUCCAAUUAAAAUCUUCAGACAGUUAUUUUUAACUUUGAAUGCUAUGCUAUGUUAAAACGAUUCAAAGGUCACAAGAAUUUUUAAUGAGUUUGGCAUUGAAGAACACCAAGAUCAGGUUUAUCACCGGUGUUCUGUUACAAAGACACAGCAAUCUUUUCAUGUUAUAAAUAUAUUUACAAGGCACAAACAUCAGUCUUCUAAGGAAAUUGGUAAUAUCAUGUGUCCUUUAUAAACUGCCAAAAAGAUUCAAUUCCAAGUUCCAGGUCUAAAAACAGAAGCAAAAUGAAUAAUACUUUACAAGACGUUCUCCCGACCUAUUCUAAGCUGCCCACAGAUGCAGAAAUUUAGCGGUACAUGUACAGAUUUUCCAACCAAGUGCAAGAAAAAACCCCAAUAUGAAAUAUUAAUUCAUUUAUUAUCAGUAAGUGCUUUAUCCUUAUCUGUCCCAGAAUUAGCAUUAGGGAUGAGGCUGUAAGCAACCAAGUAUGUGACUUAAAUUCACAAACUACAUUUACUACUAGGAGCCAGUUUCCAGUUCACCUCACUAUUUUUGAGUGUAGAAUAUCAGAUGAACAAAAAUCCAAAUAUCUGUUUCCAAUAGCAUUUCAUAAAAUGUAGUAUUAAAUUGGCAGAUAAUUACUUGGCCGUAAAAGUCCAGAGGUUAUUGACUGCGAUGAACUGGAUUCAUACAUUUAUUUUUCAAAACCCAAUCUUAGCUUAACAUGCUUAUUCAGAUCUAAUGAGGAUAUAUACACCUGGUCUCAGAACUAAUGAAUUUAAUGUGUAUCGAGUAAGCAUUUAGCCAGACUCCCUACGACUUUCCCAGAUAAGAUAAGCGAUAAGAUAAUACUUUAUUAAUCCCCAGACGGAGAAAUUUGCAUGCCAUGCUCUCUGGCAGUCUUUGAGUAAGUAGUGAUUGAGUUCAAAUAUACUUUUUGGUGGAUUUAGUGUAAUAUGGGGAUUUUAAGUAAAGGCUUAUGGUUAUACCAGUAUAGUGAGUUAUAUUAUUUCUCUAUAAAUUAUUGUGCAUGGUUUAUACCUCUUUUAUAGCACAUUAGCUAAUCUUGUUGUUGUCUUUGUUACCAUUGCAAUUGGAUAGAUGUCCCUUUGUAGUUUUAAUCUGAUUAACAUAAUAUUUAUUUUGGUAAAAUCAGAUUUAAAAAAUUAUAAACAUUUAAAUAUUUAAAAUAUAUAAUCUUCAUACAUUUAUAAUAUAAAACUCAGAAAGUUUUCUGAAAAUGGAGCAGCUAGUUUACAAGAUCUUGAUAAUUAGUAUUGAAAUAUUAGUGUAGAGAUCAUUGGGCAGUAGUUUUAGAACUGAAAUGUCUCCAAGAUGACUCACUGGGUUACUAAUGACCAUCCUAAAUGCCUGUCUUAAUAUUCACUUGGAUGAAAGUCCUCUGUUACACACUGCAGCUGUGGCAUCACACAGCAUUCGCCUUGUUUAUUUUUAGAGCCAUGCAGCUUCUUCUUUUUUUAUUUUUUUUGGAUGAAGGUGGGCUAUAGCACUGUGAAUGCAAGUCCUAUCUGAAAGACAUCUUCUGUUCUUGUCGAGCAUCAUUACCUCAGUUUAACAGAUGUAGUUGAAAUUGCAUGCUUUAGUGGAGACUCGUAUCAUCAGCAGGAAGCUACCGUAAUUCAUAUUGCAUUUAUAUUUUGCUUCAUCUUUUCAUCUUUCUAGCUCUUGAUUCUGAACAGUGAUGUGUUACUCUGCAGUGUCUGUUGAACUGGUACCCAAGAAAACCUUUUCUGCACUUCAACAGCUCUUGAUUCUGAACAGUGAUGUGUUACUCUGCAGUGUCUGUUGAACUGGUACCCAAGAAAACCUUUUCUGCACUUCAACAGCUCUUGAUUCUGAACAGUGAUGUGUUACUCUGCAGUGUCUGUUGAACUGGUACCCAAGAAAACCUUUUCUGCACUUCAACAGCUCUUGAUUCUGAACAGUGAUGUGUUACUCUGCAGUGUCUGUUGAACUGGUACCCAAGAAAACCUUUUCUGCACUUCAACAGAAGACUCUGCCGAUAAGGAAGACAACGCUCCCCGGCUGCCCAACAUCACUGCCCCUCUGUGGAUGUUUUCCCCUACUUGUUUUCUCCCUCUAUUGACAAUCUCAGCUGGGAAGAGGGAUCACCAGACCGCCACCGACACAUCCCUCACUCCCUUCACCCCUUCCCUUCACACUGCUGUUUUUUUUCCUGUUUUGUAAAUACACGUGCGCUAAUUCCCCACCAAUCGCCUCUCUGUGUCCGUGCUCUGCCUGCCACGGCUGUGAGUUUCGCUACAAUGCUUCUUUAUUAAACUUUAUUUUUGUUUUUGUUGGACAUUUUUAAGUUGUUGAGCUCAGAGUAACAGGUUUUUACUUUACUCCAGCUGGGUCUAUACCUGAGAUUAUGUAAUAAAUGUUCUACUCCUACUCUAUAUGUUCAAUAUAUUUUUGAGUUCCCUCUAGAACAGUACU